rnacentral:rRNA from 1 species
UACGUAGGGGGCAAGCGUUGUCCGGAAUCAUUGGGCGUAAAGAGCGUGUAGGCGACCUGGCAAGUCUCGCGUGAAAUCUUGCGGCUCAACCGCAAGCGGUCGUGAGAAACUGCCUGGCUAGAAUCCGGAAGAGGAGAGCGGAAUUCCUGGUGUAGCGGUGGAAUGCGCAGAUAUCAGGAAGAACACCCGUGGCGAAGGCGGCUCUCUGGGACGGUAUUGACGCUGAGACGCGAAAGCGUGGGGAGCGAACAGG